rnacentral:lncRNA from 1 species
GAAAAAAAAAGAGAGCUGCAGAAGCCUGCAGAAGGGAUGCUGGGGACAGAGGAGGAAUAUAGUCUGGUCCUUGAUGAUUAACGAUCACUGGACAGACCCGAAACCUGAAAUGACCAGACAGACCAGUGUCCAUGCUAAAGUUCCCGCAAGAUGGGAAUUGAAGAGAGACAAGCGAUGAAACAGCACGUGCUUUGGGAAGACAAAGACAAGGUGAACAUUCAGUGCUGGAGCCAAGAAAGGAACUACGUGCCCUGCAAAGAAUUUAGAGAAUGAAGGCAGCUGUUUGUAUGAGUUACUCUGCAGUGACUUUUGCUUCCAGAGGAAACUCUCCCUUUCAAUACUUGAAAUGGACUUUAUAUGGCAACACUGCCCACCGGUACUUCCCAGAGGAAUACAGAUACUUUCCUCAGGCAAGAAAUCCAGCAGAAUGUUUUUCUCCUAGGUUUUCAGGCUGAAGUAGCGGUGGAGAGAAAUUAAGCAAAUAACUCAGUCACUUGUUUAGCCGGUGGCAAUGCACUUCCCUUGGGGCAUUGCUAGUGCUUGAAGAUCAAUGUUCCCCUGUCCCAGUAUUACUCCAGCAAUGCAAUACUUAGGUAGGUUAUAGGCUGGUGUUCUUGACUGAUGCUGUUCAGAAAAAUUAUAUACCUUUUGUAUGGUAACUCACUUGAAUCAACACGCAGAAGAGCAAAGACUGAGGAUAAUUCUCUUUUGUGAUGACCUGGUCUUGUAACCUUCCCAACCUCAUUCUAGGAAGCUAAGUCAACACAUCAAAAUCUGAAAGAACUUGUUUCUCUCCAGUUUGUACACAGGAAGACUGCAAAAAUCAGAAUUAAGUAGACACUUGAAAUUAAAUUGGAUGAAAAAGAGCUAAUGCUCUAAACUGUCUCUUCUUUUCAUCUGCUGUGGCCUUUCCUCAGCAACAACACAAAGGAUGUGAUCCUCCUCCUGUCUCUAUGCACAAUUUAUUUCAUAGGUGCUUGCUCUGCAAGUUUUAAGGUAAAGCUUCACUGUUAAUUGUGAGUAUUUUCAAGGUUGCUGUUAUAGGAGCGUAUAGCACAUGCUUUACUGAAUGUAUC